rnacentral:tRNA from 1 species
GCCUGGGUGGCUCAGUCAGUUGGGCGUCUGCCUUCGGCUCAGGUCAUGGGAUCGAGUCCCUCCCCGGGCA